GCAUGAUGAUACCCUAUUUGUUCUAUUCAACCGAACGCACUCGCCAGCACACGCCCUCGCACACGCACUCGUUUGUGUGUGCGCGCCGGUGUGUGCUGGCGUGUGUGCAUGAUCGAACAGCCUCUUAGCAAUACGUAUCGAGAAUCUGAUG
rnacentral:snoRNA from 1 species